GACGAACGCUGGCGGCGUGCUUAACACAUGCAAGUCGAACGGAAAGGCCCUGCUUUUGUGGGGUGCUCGAGUGGCGAACGGGUGAGUAACACGUGAGUAACCUGCCCUUGACUUUGGGAUAACUUCAGGAAACUGGGGCUAAUACCGGAUAGGAGCUCCUGCUGCAUGGUGGGGGUUGGAAAGUUUCGGCGGUUGGGGAUGGACUCGCGGCUUAUCAGCUUGUUGGUGGGGUAGUGGCUUACCAAGGCUUUGACGGGUAGCCGGCCUGAGAGGGUGACCGGCCACAUUGGGACUGAGAUACGGCCCAGACCCCUACGGGGGGCAGCAGGGGGGAAUAUGGCACAAGGGGCGGAAGCCUGAUGCAGCAACGCCGGGGGGGGGAGGGCGGCCUUGGGGUUGUAAACCGCUUUCGCCUGUGACGAAGCGUGGGUGACGGUAAUGGGUAAAGAAACCCCGGCUAACUACGU
rnacentral:rRNA from 1 species